GAUGAACGCUGGCGGCGUGCCUAAUACAUGCAAGUCGAGCGAACAGACGAGGAGCUUGCUCCUUCGACGUUAGCGGCGGACGGGUGAGUAACACGUAGGUAACCUACCUAUAAGACUGGGAUAACUUCGGGAAACCGGAGCUAAUACCGGAUAAUAUUUCGAACCGCAUGGUUCGAUAGUGAAAGAUGGCUUUGCUAUCACUUAUAGAUGGACCUGCGCCGUAUUAGCUAGUUGGUAAGGUAACGGCUUACCAAGGCAACGAUACGUAGCCGACCUGAGAGGGUGAUCGGCCACACUGGAACUGAGACACGGUCUAGACUCCUACGGGAGGCAGCAGUAGGGAAUCUUCCGCAAUGGGCGAAAGCCUGACGGAGCAACGCCGCGUGAGUGAUGAAGGUCUUCGGAUCGUAAAACUCUGUUAUUAGGGAAGAACAAACGUGUAAGUAACUGUGCACGUCUUGACGGUACCUAAUCAGAAAGCCACGGCUAACUACGUG
rnacentral:rRNA from 1 species